UGGUUCUGGCAUCGAUGAAGAACGCAGCGAAAUGCGAUAAGUAAUGUGAAUUGCAGAAUUCAGUGAAUCAUCGAAUCUUUGAACGCACAUUGCGCCCUCUGGUAUUCCGGGGGGCAUGCCCGUUCGAGCGUCAUUACACCUCUCAAGCCUCGCUUGGUAUUGGAGGCAGCGGCCCUCGCGUCGCUCCUCUCAAAUUGACCGGCCGAGUUCGUUAAAACCUAGGCGUUGUGCAAACAAAUCUCGCCUGCUGGGGUUAAAGGACUUCGACAGCCGUUAAACACUUUUCAUUAAAGGUUGACCUCGGAUCGGGUAGGGAUACCCGCUGA
rnacentral:misc_RNA from 1 species